rnacentral:ncRNA from 1 species
GAAAACUUGGUCCCAAUUUCCCUUACUCUUAAAACUGAAUUGACACAUGCAAAGGAACCCUACCACAGUGAGGAACAUAAAAACUUCUUUAAGAUCAAACAACAGUGCAUUAAGAAAACACAAAUACUAAACACACAGAGAACCCACAGCUGCAGUGCUAAACAUUAAUCUAUUAGUGAAAGCUAGAAUUAAUUACAGGAAAAAUUAAACGUUGGUCAACUACGUGCCAGCUACCGCGGUUAUACGUAAAACACAAAAGUAAGAAAAACAAGAAAGUGACUACCCAAAAACAUCUACGAUAAAAUAAACAAUCAAACAGUAAAACGUAAACAAUGUAACAAACAUCACCAAAUCGCCAAAGGAAAUUCACGUAAGCUUAAACCCAAACCAGGAUUAGAGACCCUGCUAUGUUAAACUAUAAACAAAAACCUUAAAGAACUACGAGCUACAAGCUUAAAACUUAAAGGACUUGGCGGUACUCUAGACCUCCCUAGAGGAGCCUGCCGCAUAAUAGACAACCCACAAAACACCUAACCUUUUUUAGAAUACAGUCUGUAUAUCAUCGUCGUCAGCCUACCUUAAAAAAGAAGUAGACAAAAAGGAAAGCUCCAAAACGUCAGAUCAAGAUGCAACCAAUAAAAAGGAAGCGCGUGGGCUACAAUGUUCAAGCACCCGACCAGCAAAUCUAAACUAAAAAGAUAAGAAAAGAAGGAUUUAGCAGUAAGAACACUUAAUAAAAACGCUCUGAAGCAAGCUCUAGAAUACGUACACACCGCCCGUCACUCUCUUUAACCUACUAAGAGAAAAGUCGUAACAAGGUAAGAGUAGGGGAACCUGCUCUUGGUAUAAAAA